GGAAUCUUGCACAAUGGGGGAAACCCUGAUGGAGCGACGCCGCGUGGGGGAUGAAUGGCUUCGGCCCGUAAACCCCUGUCAUUCGCGAACAAUGUCCCGAUGUGAACAGCGUCGGGAUUGAUAGUAGCGGAAGAGGAAGGGACGGCUAACUCUGUGCCAGCAGCCGCGGUAAUACAGAGGUCCCAAGCGUUGUUCGGAUUCACUGGGGGUAAAGGGUGCGUAGGUGGUCGGAUAAGUCUGAUGUGAAAUCUUCGAGCUCAACUCGGAAACUGCAUUGGAUACUAUUCGGCUGGAGGGUUGGAGGGGGGACUGGAAUUCUCGGUGUAGCAGUGAAAUGCGUAGAUAUCGAGAGGAACACCAGUGGCGAAGGCGAGUCCCUGGACAACUCCUGACACUGAGGCACGAAAGCUAGGGGAGCAAAC
rnacentral:rRNA from 1 species